GAUGAACGCUGGCGGCGUGCCUAAUACAUGCAAGUCGAGCGAACAGACGAGGAGCUUGCUCCUCUGACGUUAGCGGCGGACGGGUGAGUAACACGUGGAUAACCUACCUAUAAGACUGGGAUAACUUCGGGAAACCGGAGCUAAUACCGGAUAAUAUAUUGAACCGCAUGGUUCAAUAGUGAAAGACGGUUUUGCUGUCGCUUCUAGAUGGAUCCGCGCCGCAUUAGCUAGUUGGUAAGGUAACGGCUUACCAAGGCAACGAUGCGUAGCCGACCUGAGAGGGUGAUCGGCCACACUGGAACUGAGACACGGUCCAGACUCCUACGGGAGGCAGCAGUAGGGAACCUUCCGCAAUGGGCGAAAGCCUGACGGAGCAACGCCGCGUGAGUGAUGAAGGUCUUCGGAUCGUAAAACUCUGUUAUUAGGGAAGAACAAAUGUGUAAGUAACUAUGCACGUCUUGACGGUACCUAAUCAGAAAGCCACGGCUAACUACGUG
rnacentral:rRNA from 1 species